UACGUAGGGCGCAAGCGUUAUCCGGAUUUAUUGGGCGUAAAGGGCUCGUAGGUGGCCAACUAAGUCAGACGUGAAAUCCCCAGGCUCAACUUGGGGACUGCGUCUGAUACUGGAUGGCUUGAAUUCGGGAGAGGGAUGCAGAAUUCCAGGUGUAGCGGUGAAAUGACGUAGAUAUCUGGAGGAAUACCGGUGGCGAAGGCGGCAUCCUGGACCGAGAUUGACACUGAUGAGCGAAAGCUAGGGGAGCAAACGGG
rnacentral:rRNA from 1 species